rnacentral:lncRNA from 1 species
UUUCUUCACCGUCCAAGGUUCUUUCUAAUUUUCCAUUCUAUCAAGAAACAUGCAAUGUGUAUAUAGUAGUAACAUCUAUCUUUGUUUCAAUCCGCAGAUACAAAUGUAUGGCGAUACAAUAUUUUCAAAACGAUGUGGGGAUUCCCUCGGGUCCUCCCUCUUGAUACCUUCAGAAACCCGAGCAACGGAUACCUCUUCAAUGGAGAUCACUGCGAGUUUGGUGUUGAUGUGACUAUUCAUACACCCUUUCAAAGAUCAGAACUUUUCACUGUCGCUAGGAAUUUCCCUAACCCGAGGUUCACCUGGAAUAUUCUGAGGUUCUCCACGCUGCUGGGAGAGACUUACUUCUCUGAUGUGUUCUCCAUCGGAGGAAGAAAUUGGUAAGUCCAACAUUAGUUCAAGAGUAGAACUCUUUUGCUUUAGUUAGAAUAUAGUGGUGGUACGUAACAAAUAUUCCAUAUGAUGAUCAGGAAUAUACAAGUGAAUCCAAGUGGCGCUGUAACGGGAGAGGGAAGAGCCUUGUCGAUGUAUCUUCUCCUUAAUGCGAACGAGAGAUUCAGACCCUAUGAGAAGAUUUAUGUUCGAGCCCAGCUUAGGGUUCUUAACCAACGUGCCUCGUCCCAGUGGAGAACCAUCGAAAGGCCAAGUGAGCAAAUGAUAUAUAUCGGUACUCUAUACUAUGGAAACAUCCCUUGUGACUAAUGAAUGGUUUCUGUCAACUUCCUCCAUUUUUGGCAGUCGAUCAUUGGUUCACUGGUCCGGGAUUAGGUUGGGGUUACCAUGAGUUUGUCCCUCUAGCUGAUUUCAGGGAUCCAGAGAGAGGUUAUCUUGUGAAUGAUAAGUUGAUGGUUCAAGUCGAAAUGGAAGCAAUUUCUUCAACCAGGUACUUCCCUAGUUAGAAUUCUCUAACCAAGGAACUUGUAGCUCUAUGUAAUUUGCUAUCUUAUCAACCACUUAAUAAUAAGAAAUGUAUGUGUGUGCGUAUCAAAUAAAUGUCUUCUUUAUAUGUCAACUGUCAUAUUUAUUUUUUCUGCAAUGAUCGACGACGUCUACUGCGGCUCAAAAUCGCAGCUCAAAAUCUGGUUAUAUAAUAUUGUCCUUCUAACAUUAAUUGGAAACGAAACUGACAUUUUCAUGACCAUACUAGUGUUUUGUUUCUUCAAGCAAAAAAUAAAAACGCACUUCAACACGAUAUAUUAAAUAUAUAGCUCACAUGUUCGUUAUAAGAGAGGCAAAAUGUAAAAAGUCACCAUUUUCGGUAUUACGCGUGAUCGUGAUUUAUAAUGAGACUAGAUACAAGUUUUUUUUUCUGAAAAAGGCGACUAGGUACAAAUUGUUAUGAGCCUCAUAACCAAGAGAUUAUGAUUUGUAAUCUUUUCAUUUAUCUAUGACGGUGUAAUCUCCUAUAUAAGGAAUCUCUAUGUUAUGAAUAAAGAUAGACUUUUUCAUUACUUUUAUAACACGUUAUCAGCACGAAACUCUAAAUUCCUAAGCUAAUACCCAAAUCGAAAAACCCUAAAACCCUAACCCCAGCCGGCAAUCCGACGAACCCUAAACCCCGAUCGCGUCUCUUGUUCCCGCGUCUGUUCCAGCUCGCGUCCCCGAUCAGCUUUAGCCCAAGGCGUUCCUGAUCCUAGCUCAGACGUUCGCGGCCCGGGAGCAGCUCCAGCACGCGGCCUCUUCCUCGUUCGCGACAGCAUCAUACAGCUCGCGUCCGACGAUCAAGGCGAUCCCGAUCAAGCAACAAAGGACGUCCGCGACCCGAUAGAAGCGACUCUAUCCAUUCCAGCUCGCGUCCCGUUCGUGUCCCGAUUGCGGCUCAACUCCUUUGGUGGUCCGAUUCAACAAUCAUCUAAGGUUAAAAGGUAAUUCAAAACCUAAGAACCCAUAAUCGAACAUGGAUUGAUUGAUAAAGAAUGAAACCCUAAAACCCUAAUCUUUAUGAAUCAAAACCAUAGGGUAAUAGAUCAAAACCCCAAUGAGUAAAUAGAUUGUAUGCUAAGUUCGAUUAAAUUGAUUGAUCUGAUUAUAUGUUUUUGAGGUUUGAUAAAUUCGGAUACUAGAUAAAUUAUUUACACAUGGUUUAUGCUAAAUACCAAUCAGCCUUGAAACUGAUUCAUUGAAAUUCAUGCUUGAAAUCUAUAUUCUAGUAUUGCUAAAAUCAGCCUUGAAACUGAUUGAGUGAUUAAUAAAUCUUUUUACUAGUUUUGCUAAAAUCCAUUGAUUGUUAAACCCUAAUUGCAUGAUUAAUUGAAUCCGUUUUUGCUAGUUUUGAUAAACCAUAAUAUUAUGAGCACAUAGAAAUAGUAUUGCUGAGACUUGCUAGAAAAUGACUGAUUGAUUAAAUGCCUUUAAGAUUGAUAGUCUCAUUGUCCUCACAAGAUUGAAAUCCGAAUUGAUUAUUUUUUAAGAGUAAGGCCGCAUGAAAAUUAUACCUAAAUAUUGAGUGAUAUAUGAUUUGAGAUGUCGAAAACCAACCUGGAUUUUGCUGCGCUAUAUCUCUCUGGAGAUAAUUAUUUACGGUGGGCAUUGGAGACAAAGAUUAUCCUAAAGUAAAAAAAGACUUGGUGAAUAUAUCAUAGAAGGCAAUAAUGCCAAUGAGAAAGAUUGAUACAUGAUAAUAUUAAUUAUUAGCCAUCAUCUUAUUAAGAGUCGCAAAGAUCAGUAUCUGACUAUAGAGAAUCCUCUAGACCUUUGGACAGAGUUAAAAAUCGAGAUAUGAUCACCAAAGAAUGGUGUUAUUACCAAAUGCCCUAUUUGAUUGGAAGAAUCACAGAAUCCAGGACUAUAAGUCCGUGGAUGAGUCUAUUGCUAGAUGGGCAAAAUAAUGGAUUACUGAUGAGAAACAGUGAAUUGAGACCUCCUGGAUUAACCCCAUUACCUGAUACCAAUAAGACCGCAGAAGAAAAAAAAAAGGUAACCACGUCCAGAAUGAUAGACCACACGGUCAUGGCCGUGGAGGGUGGAAAGGACGUGGCCAUGGCCACUAUAACACAUUUGGCCGUGGGAAUCACUAUGGCAGAGGCCGUGGGUAUCAACCCAAUUUGAGCCAUGGUCAAGGCAGUGGCCGUGGUAUAUCCUUUAAACCACAAAGCUCGACCAAAUCAGUGUNNNNNNNNNNUAAUUGCAUGAUUAAUUGAAUCCGUUUUUGCUAGUCUUGAUAAACCAUAAUAUUAUGAGCACAUAGAAAUAGUAUUGCUGAGACUUGCUAGAAAAUGACUGAUUGAUUAAAUGCCUUUAAGAUUGAUAGUCUCAUUGUCCUCACAAGAUUGAAAUCCGAAUUGAUUAUUUUUUAAGAGUAAGGCCGCAUGAAAAUUAUACCUAAAUAUUGAGUGAUAUAUGAUUUGAGAUGUCGAAAACCAACCUGGAUUUUGCUGCGCUAUAUCUCUCUGGAGAUAAUUAUUUACGGUGGGCAUUGGAGACAAAGAUUAUCCUAAAGUAAAAAAAGACUUGGUGAAUAUAUCAUAGAAGGCAAUAAUGCCAAUGAGAAAGAUUGAUACAUGAUAAUAUUAAUUAUUAGCCAUCAUCUUAUUAAGAGUCGCAAAGAUCAGUAUCUGACUAUAGAGAAUCCUCUAGACCUUUGGACAGAGUUAAAAAUCGAGAUAUGAUCACCAAAGAACGGUGUUAUUACCAAAGGCCCUAUUUGAUUGGAGGAAUCCCAGAAUCCAGGACUAUAAGUCCGUGGAUGAGUCUAUUGCUAGAUGGGCAAAAUAAUGGAUUACUGAUGAGAAACAGUGAAUUGAGACCUCAUGGAUUAACCCCAUUACCUGAUACCAAUAAGGCCGCAGAAGAAAAAAAAAGGUAACCACGUCCAGAAUGAUAGACCACACGGUCAUGGCCGUGGAGGGUGGAAAGGACGUGGCCAUGGCCACUAUAACACAUUUGGCCGUGGGAAUCACUAUGGCAGAGGCCGUGGGUAUCAACCCAAUUUGAGCCAUGGUCAAGGCAGUGGCCGUGGUAUAUCCUUUAAACCACAAAGCUCGACCAAAUCAGUGUGCCAUAGAUGUGGAAUGGGGAACCAUUGGGCUAAGAUAUAAUGGACUCCCAAACAUUUUUGUGACCUCUAUCAAAGAGAGUCUGAAAGGGAAGAAUCCUGAAACCCACUUGGUCUAUAAAGAUGGUGAAAAUAAUUUCGAACAUGAUCAAGAUGAUCUUAUGGAAUAUGAGACUUAUGAUUGCCUAAAAGAAUCAAGUUGAUCAUCUGAUUUCGACAUCAAACUUGUGUGGUUGCUUUGCUUGUAUGGUUUCUCUGAUUUUUAUCUACUUGAAUUUAUUUCUAUUACAUUGUCUGCUUAGAUUAAAUGAAUAAAUGAUUUUUCUAUAUGAGUACACUGAAAAACGCCAAUAUAAGUACUAAAGCAGGUAUCGCCAGUCUGAAAGAAGACAAUGGCUAGGCUAAUAUAUUAUUGCCUAAGGGUAUGCAUCUAGAAAUCAGUGAUGCCUUAUAUUCACCCAUCUUUAAGAGCAAGAGCAGCCUAUUGAGUUUUAAAGAUAUAAGAAUGAAUGGUUUCCAUAUUGAAACAAUGGGCGAAGGAAACAAAGAGUUCCUUCAGAUAUAUGUAUAAAAUCGCCCAAGGCCAUAAUAAGUCCUAAAGACUAUACAUGCAUUCUCUACUGACCUAGACUAUGCAUAGAUCAGUAUGAUAGAGGCUAAAAGCCUGCGAAAAUAUACACUUUAUGGCACGACCGGAUUGGCCAUCCUGGUCCAAACAUGAUGCGAAAAUUGAUAUUCAAAAGGCACACAUUAAAAGAUAAGAAGAGUUAUCCCAAAGAAUCUCACGUGUGUAGCAUGUACACAAGGGAAACUCAUUAGGCCAUCACCAGUAAAACGGCUACGAGCCCCUUUUUCUUAAAUAAAGACUAUAUGUCUAGAUAAUACUGGUGAAUACAUGUUCCAAUCGUUUAAAUGAUUAUGGUAUGUCCAUGGGGGUAAGUGUGGAAAAUUCUGUGAUACAUGUCCAGAACAAGAACGGCUUGGCCGAAAUCUUUUAAAACGCAAAUAGCUGAUUGAUAGACCAUAACUUAUGAGGUCAAAACUCUCAUUCACAUCUUGGGCCACACGAAAUUUACAUGCACAUAAGUUAAUACGCAUCAGGCCAUUUAGUGAGCAUAGAUAUCCCCUAUCACAAUUAUUAACGGGUCAAGAGCCAGACAUACCCCAUCAUAAGAUAUUUGGAUGUGAUGUCUAUGUACUAAUUUCUCCACCACAUAGAACUAAGAUGGGACCUCAAAAGGAGGAUGGAGAUAUAUGUUGGAUAUGAUUCUCCCACAAUAAUAAAGUACUUUGAGCCAACUAUGGGUGAUUAUAUUUGAGGCCAUGUACACGGAUUAUUUUAAGACCAGGGGGAAAAAAUAAUAAUAAAGCUAGUAAAAGAAUGGUAAAAGAAAUAAAAUGGAAUCAACCAUCAAUGUCUUGGCAAGAUCCUCGACCUAAAGAAUGUGAAAUAGACGUCCAAAGAUUAUACAUUUACAAAGCUAGCUAAUCAAAUGCCAGACACAUUUGCUGACCCAAAAAAGAAUGACUAAGUCAUAUAUAAACCAGCUUGUAAAGCACCAACGAAUUUGAUGUCCAAGAAGAGACACAGUCAAGUUGCUACAAAGUCUAGACAACGUAUAAAACGUGGUAGACCAAAUAGGUUCCAAAAGAUAAGAAUCCUCUGAAACAAAAGAAAGGUGCGGAGAAUGAUAAUCAAAAUCCAAAUCCGAGGUUACUAAGGAAACCAUCCCAGACAUGGAGAUAAGGCCGGCCGGCUCUAAGGUACAGGUAUCAAACAAUGUAGCUUGGGACGCCAAGCUGAAAAGUAUUAAAGGUCCUGAUAAUAAUGAAUCUCAAUCGAUUAUAUCAUGUCUGGAACAUAAUGGAUUCAAUAAGGAAUGUCGACGUAAGAUGAUUUAUUUGCAUACAAGGUAGCACUUGAGUUUAUGAAUAUAAGCGAAGAUCAUUAACUCACGUCAAUAUAAGAGUGCGCACUCGUAGAACAGAUUGGAUUGAAUAGAAACGUGGGGUUAAAUAGUUUAAGGAAGAAAUGCGUAUUUGGCCAUAUGAUUAAGACGCCAUAUGAUGUUAAAACCAGUGGAUAUAAAUGGGUCUUGUGAGGAAUAGAAAUCGUGAGAUAUAAAGCUGAUGUUGCACAAGGAUUCUCACAAAGACCAGUAAUAGAUUAUGAGGAGACAUACUCCCAUGUGGUGGAUGCAACUACUUUUAGAUUUCUCAUAAGUCUGGCUAUAUAAGAGAGAAAAUUAGACUUGCAGCAAGUUGAUGUAGUGACUGCAUAUUUAUAUGGUCCACUGGAUAAUGAAAGUACUAGAGGGUAUUGAGCUGAAAGUACAACAAGUUCUCGAGAACAAUAUUGAUAAUCAUCAAAGUAUAUGAUCUGAAUAUCCUAGGAACCUCUGGAUACAAUUUCCCAAACAGUUGAAUAUCUCAAGAAAGAGUUUGAGAUGAAAGAUCUUGGAAAACAAAGUUUUGUUUGGGAUUACAGCUUGAGUACAUUAACAAUGAAAUCCUUGUGCAUCAAAUAGUAUAUACAGAAAAGGGUACUCAAGAGAUUUAAUAUGGAUCAGUCUCACCCAUUAUCUAGUACAUGGGCGUGAGAUCACUUGUUUUGGACACUGAUCCAUUCAGUCCAAAGGUGGACGAUAAGAAGUCCAUUUAGUCCUGAGAUGGACGAUGCAGAAGUCUUGUUUUAGACACUGAUCUAAUUGGUCCAUAAGAAGGACGAUGAAGAAGCCUUUGAUUUUGAUUUAUUUUAUACUAACCAGCCCAAAGAUGGGUUAUUUGGUUUUGUUGAUUUGUUUUCAGACAGGUUAUGUUUUACACAUGGUGGUACACGUUUAUCACAGCAACAUCAUCCAAGAUUUUGUGUGUGUGUAUUUGAGGUCGAUGACUCAAUAUGUUCGAUCAGAUUGUGGCAUGACCGAUGGUAAAGAAGAACCAACUAUCAUGUUCGAGGACGAAACAUAUUCUGCCCAAGAUCUUCAUCAUCCACGGAUUGCAGAAAAUUGGAGAGGUCUAAGGGAUCUUCAGUAAUGUCCAAAUCAUGGGGAGUAAUGUGUGUUGUACUAUUUUUCCUUCACCAUGGUUUUAUCUCAAUUGGGUUUUCCUGUUAAGGUUUUAAUGAGGCAACAUUAAAACACAUUACAAGCUCUAAAUGGUUAUGGCAUCCAAGGGGAGGUGUUAUGAACCAGAUUGUGGAUGGCUCAUAACCAAGAGAUUAUGAUUUGUAAUUUUUUCAUUUAUCUAUGACAAUAUAAUCUUCUAUAUAACGAACUUCUAUGUUAUGAAUAAAGAUAGACUUUUCCAUUACUUUUAUAGCACAAGUUACUUAUUAGUGAAUCGAUUCAGUAAAAGAUCAAUAAUGUGUGUUAGUUAUAGAUUAUUUUGACUUAAUUAAUUAGAACACUAAAGUCACACCACGCUUCUUAUUUAUUUACAUUUACGAUGUCCUAUUCCAUUCAAAAACGGAUACGAAAGCUUUUGUCAUGCUUCUAAAUGUUUAUGAAUUCUUUUCCUUUUUACUAAAUGUUUAGGAACUCUUUGAUCAUGAAUGUUUUCUUUCUUGAACCAAAAUACCCUUUUAAAACACUUUCUUAAAUAUUUAUGACUCCCUUCAUAAAUUAAAGCCAUUUCUUUCAGAGAGUUUAUUUCACUCUCUAGCCUCAAAGAUUCAUCAAAGGGUUUUGUGAAUCAUGUGUUGAUGGUUCAAGUCGAAAAAGAAGCAAUUUUUUCAACAGAGUACUUCCCUAAUUGGGUGUCUCGUGUCUCUAACCAAGGCAAUUGCAAGUCCAUAUUUGCAUUAUUAUAAACCACUUAAUAAUAUGAUUUUAACACAUGAAUGGUCUAAUAAUAAGCGAAUUCUGCUGAGAUAAGCGAUCCAAAUUCGAAACAACUCCACAAUGCUAAACAUGUAUGGUCAUGAGAUAUGAAUAUCUAAUUCCCAUUGUAAACAACUAGACCUAUCUUGCACCGGUAGACAGAUCCCCAAAGAAUAUUCGGUUGGGAUUCGGUCCGUCAGACACCUCUGAUUAUUCAAAAAUAAUAUAAUAAUAAUAUGAUUCUGUGUAUGCAUUUUAAAUGAAUGGGUUUUUAUCAUAGAAACAGCACUUAAAAAUGUAUAGACUGUUCUUGAAAGGACUAAUGAUUUUUACCCAAAAAAAUGUCUAUGGGACAUUCAAUAAUAAUAAUUUUCUCAAAAUCUCAAAAUGUAUAGACUGUUCUUCAAAGCAUUAAGCACCAAUGAUUAAUUAAAAAAAUUGUUAUUCAUGAUCAGAUAACAACUAUUUUCGAGUCUUGGAUCUUCAAGCGUAAAAAGGUGUUUUUACUCACAUAUGGUAAAUACAAGUCAACAGCAAAUGAUGCAAAAAAAAAAAUCAUGUCUGGAACAUAAUGGAUUAACCAAAUUUCUUUUUCAUAUAAGUAUUUAGCUCUUCGCCAAGUAUUAAAAAAAACACUAGAUAGAUCAUCUCAUAGGCUUAUAGAAAUCUUUUUUUUUUUUUUGCCAAAACGCCAAUAUUAAAAUGUGCAAGUAAGCUACAUUAGUACAUUUUUCUUCAAAAAAAAAGCUAGAUCGAUAUAUCAUCAUAGGCUUAUGAAAACCCUUUAACAAACAAAAACAAAUCAUCAUACGCUUUGGAUACCAAGGAAAAGCACUGCCAAAGAACAAAUGAAAAUCUUCUUCUUCUUCUUCUUGAUUCCAUCACAUUCCUAUUACAUAUGCUUUACUGAAAUGUUAAACAAUUCAUAUUCAAUAUCCAGUAGAACAGCCGUUCUAUAUAUGUGAUUAUUCUUAAAAACAUACGAUAUAUUUUUUUUGUUCUAGUGGCAAAUAUCAGUUUGAAUACUUGAGUUAAUUUUUAUAUAUAAAGUGCACAUGUCUCUUUCGCAAAGCUGUGCGUUUCAUUUAUGUGAUUUGUAAUCUUUUUUUUUUUGAAUUUAGUGGACUGUUUCCAUAUAUUUGGGCUUCCAGUAUGUGUUACCUAAUAUCAGCCUAUUGAAAAUUUAUUCACUGUCUUCGUGGUCAACAUUGAGAAAGAUCCUGAUCUUUUUCUCUUCCUCGAGCCGUGGAUAUGAGUAACGGAGUCACCGUACUUAAAGAAAGAAGCCAUUAAACCUUGCAUUCAAUCUCUACUAACUCUUUCAUUACUGCAAAACCUCUGAACUCUUCAGCUUUGUUGUGAUCUGAAACCUAUAAAUAGGCACCUCCGGCUUGAUGGUUCCCACAGAUUCAUCCGUCUUUUCCACUCGAUUUAUAGAAAUACUCCUCCAACAACGAUGGCCGCAUCCCAGAUCUCUUUCGGAGUUGAAGCCAGGGUAUUAGUUGGCGAGAUGGAUCUGCUGUCGAGAGAAUACUGAAACGAUUGAGCCAUCGGCUGGGGUUUGCAUAGAUUCACCCAAGUGAUCGGUGGUGGCUGUGGUUGCCGAAGAAGGCUGAGGAUGGAGAGGAGAAGCUAGAGGCCGUAGACGAAGCCAACUCCAAGGACGGAGAAGAUGACGACGGCAUGGCUUUAGAGUAAGCACCGCAGAAACGACCGAACAGUGAUUAGGAACGGAGCACAGGGCCGGUUGAUUUGGUACAAGACGAAUUGGUCGCCAUUGUUUUUCUUUCCAUAUUUAAAAUUUGAAGAAGUCUUCUUAAGAGGAGGAAGAAGAAAGAAAGAGGUCAGAAUGGCUAACCCAUCCCCAGGGCCGGCUGAUGACCAAGGGCCAGCAGUGCACCCGCCCAGGGCCCAUUGUUGGAGGGGGCCCAUAAUUUUUUUUUUUUUUUAUGUAGUAGUGCAAUUUAAUUUUUUGUAAAUAAUACAUAUAUUUUUUUAGAAAAACAGAAUCAAUAAAGAAAAAAUUUAUCGUACUUUUCUUUUUUACUUAACUGUUAGAAAUUAACUUGACUUUGAAGUAUAGCCGACUAAAGAUGUUAUAUUUUGAAGGUUUUUGUAGAAGCAAAUGAUUUCAUUCUAAAAAAAAAAAAGCUAUAAAAAAAGCAAGACUGUUUUAUUUUUAUGGUUGUGCUUACCUUUUCAAACGAAAAUGAUUUUAUUUUACCUUGUAGCUACAAUAUCAAAAUUUCAAUUUCAUUGGUUAAGGGUCACUUUUUUUUGCCCCAGGGUCCGUAAAAGGUUUGAGCCGGCCCUGCCCAUCCCCACAAGCCUUUCAAUUCUCCAGUCACCACUAUCUUCGUUUUGAACAGAAGCUUGAGCUCCAACUUUAGACUAUGUCAACAAUAAGAUACCGAAAAACACAAAUGUUUUUUUUUCUUAAGACCAUCUCCGUUCACCAUACUUUUUACUCUAAAAUAUAAUAACUUUAUAAUAGAGUUGUGGUAUACUCUAAUGAUACUCUAUUUUAGAGUGGAAAAUAAAGUGAUGAACAAAUAAAAAACAACUUACUCUAUAUAUAGAGUAAAUCCAUUUUUUACUCUAUUAUAGAGUGAAAAAUAAAGUACAAUUGGAGCAUUUUUAUUCUAAACUAUAUUUUAGAGUGAAAAAUAGAGUGGGGUUGGAGAUGCCCUAAGUUAUAGCAGAAUUUUUUAAUAAACUAAAACCUCUUCAGCUUGGAGUUGGAGAUACCCUAAGUGAUUUAACUUUAUUUUGUUUUAACAAGCUAUAUAAUUAUAAAAUCAUAUGAAUAAAAAUCUCAUUUAAUAGAUAUUUUCAGAAUAUAUAUUUAUUAUCUAAAUUAAACUAUAUACAAUAUAAAAUACUUUAAUAUAUUAAUUUAGAAAUUGCAUUAACAAAUAUUGAAACUUUAAUAUUUAAUUCCGAAUUUGUAUUAAUUUUUUAAAGGAAAAUGUCAAAGUACAUAUCAUGCAUUAUCAUAUGACAUCCAAAGAAUCCUAUAAUAUAGAAUUUUAACCACAGUACAUAAUUUGUUACUAACAAUUUUGUUCAAAAAACAAUAUUAUGCAAAUAAGAUUAUGAGCAUUGUUCAAAAUUGAUUAUAUAUAUAUAUAGAUAUUUGAAAAUAUAGGUGGUACAAAUAAAUCAAAACAUAUAUAGGACAUGUUGAAGAAAAAACUUCAAAAAAUAAAUUUUCUAAGACCCUUAAAAAUUACGAAAUUAUUGGUUCUAAAGCCAAAGUAAAAUUUAAUUAGUGUAUCUUUAACAAUUAUUUUAUAUUAAACAUAAAUAAGAAAUAUAAAAAAAAAUAUUCAGACCAUAUCUAAGAUCUAAUUCAUUAUUUAUUCGUUUUGCUCAUUAUGUUAUACAUAGCUUUUAAUAAUAAAAUAGCAAUUUUUUUUUUUGAAACACCUAAAAAGCAAGUUUUUAUCAUUAAAAAUUUCGUUAGACAAAACAAUGAAAAUAAUUUUAAAAUUGCCUAACGGCAUAUAUUUUAUAACACAUAUAUAUAUAUAUAUAAAUAUAUAAAUAUAUAAAUACAAAACAUAUAAAAAAAUUAUAGGAAAAUCUCGGGUGUAGCCCGGGCCGAUCCUAGUAAAAUUAUAUUUGGGUUAGUUAAUCAGUCUCCAUCCAUUAAGAAUGUAAAUUUUCAAAAUUUUGAUAAAAAGCUUCUUCAUAAAUUAAUUCUGGAUUUUAAUAUCCAACAAAUAAUACAUGUUUUCUGAGAAAAUAAAACAAUUAAAAAUUUUGGUUGUUCAGUCGAUUUGAAAUUUAGAGGAUUUGCCAAAAAUAACACAAAACUUCAAUUUGAAUUCAAAUUUAUACCUUAAACUUAAUCAAAUGCAAAAAAAUAACUUUUAAAAUAGCAAAAUUACAAUUAUAUUCUCAUGAACAAAUAAAAAACUUGUAAACACUUAUACGAUUAUAGCCUUCAAAUUUUUUUUUAAACUAUGAAGUCUUAUUCGAGAAGACUUAUCGAGAAGUUUACUCACAUUGAGAAGAUUUUUUGAUAAGUCUACUCAUGUAUUUAAACCUAAAAUUAAUUUAUAAAAUUAUAAAAAAUGAUGAAAAUCAUGUAAAUAUAAAAAAUUAUAAAUCAUGUAAAUUUAAAUUUAAUAAAAUUGAAUUGUUUUUCACAUAGAUGAAUGAAUAUAAUUUGUAAGUCAUGAUUUUCCAUUAGUUAUGAUUUGGUAACAUAUGUUCAAGUAAUGUUGAUAUUUUAGGGUUAUAUUUUAGAAUCUUAAAUAUUUUAUUUAAAAAAAAUUGACAAAUAAGUGUAUAUAUUUAUUUAGAAAUUGAUUUUAUGUUCAAUAAAGUGUUUAUUACUCUCUAGUUAAAAUAUUUGAUUUUAGGGUGUAGAGUUAGAAGACUCCCUACGAAGUUUACUAAGAAGUUAUUCACUAGCAAAAGUUAUUCAUUAGCAAACAUCUUCAGAAGUCUUCUAGUAGUGAAAAGUCUUCACUAACGAUUUUUUAAACUAACUGAAAUUCUUGUCUCCUUAUAUAAAGAAAAUUUACACAUUCUCUUUCUUUCUCUCAGAUUGUUAUUAAAAAAUGUAAUGUUUCUCAAUAUAAAACUAUAUAGCCUCUGUUUAAUCCCUUUGAUCUUGAAAACAUCCAUCCUUAAAUCAAUUUCUCAUAUUUUUGUCUAAUGUCUUUUUCACUUUUUGUUUUUGCAGGUUUUCAUCUUCCGCUCCAAAAUAUUACGUCUAUAAAAUUUCUGGAUAUGUAUUGUGUUCUGGUUUGUUAGAGUCGAAUAAAAAUAUAUAUUCAACCUAAUGUGAUUGUUUUAUAUAUUAUUUAAGCGUAAAAAUUCUAUCAAUUACCAAGAUAUGGAAUGGAAGGCUGUGAGAGGGAAGCAUGGCCGGUGUGAUCGUGGUUCUUUUCACUAGCUAUGGUUUAAAUUGCAAUGCUGGUUUCUUCUAGCCUUUGCCUAAGUUAACUCAUAGGUUGGGAAUUUCUUUUACCAUGAAGAUUGUUUGAGCAAGCUUCUCCUUACUAUAAGGUUCUUUUACCUUAUCAUGUAAACGUUUAUGUUAUUUUUAAUUUGGAAUUUUUCAGUCAAUUUUUUUUUCAUUUGAGAUACUUGUAACAACUUCAAAAAUCAUAUCUCAUCAGAUUUCUCGCCACUAAAAAAAACAAUUUCAAACGUCGAAUUUUAAAUAUUACAAAAAGCAUGUUGUGUGUGCAAACAAGAUAGUAAAUAACUUCAUUUGAUUUGUAAAAAAAUGAUAUGCUCAAAUUAAUUCUAAUGAGCAACUCUACAGUUUUGGAAGUGCAAUGCAAUACUUAGGGAUCGUAUUCACAUGGACUUAGAUAACACAAUAGAUUUCAGAUAUCGAAUUAUGCUAGAAAAAUUAAUAGAAAGUAAGUUAAUACCUUUAAAUAAAAUGGUUUGUAAGUGAUUAAGAAAAAUAUUAAUCUUAGGUAAAUUCACAGCUAAAUGAGAAUUGUAGAACAAACAAUUGCCAAGUGUUUAUGAAAAACAAUUCUAAAUUUUAAAUCACAUCAAUCAAAUCAAUCAACUUUCGUUUCAGAGAUAAUCUACGUAUAGAUCCUAGAAUUCCAAAUCUCUUUGUGAAUUCAAUCAAUUAAGAAAAUGCUUAAGACUGAUAAGUUCACUAAAUCCCUAAACCAAAUUUCUUUUUCAUAUAAGUAUUUAGCUCUUCGCCAAGUAUUAGUUUAGGUAAAUCAAGCUUUCGUAUCUACCAAUUAGCUAAGAUAAAAGUGUAGUCUGAACAAUCUAUAUUAUAAUAGAUCAGUUUUUGCUCACUCCUCAGCGCGCCACAUCAUCGUUUUGUGGGCCUCACUUUUAAAAAGUGUAAAAAAGUGUCAAGCCCAUGGCUCGAACCCGGGUUAUUGAGAUAUAAACACCAACAUUUAUAUCACUAAGCUAACUGAUACCUUUGUACAUUGAUGGCCGAACCUAAUAUAUAUUUAUGAAGGUCGGAAGCCCUUGCUUCUUCGGCUUCCUCUGAGGGUCGGACCUACAAGUGUGUUAUGGGUUUCAUUUUUAAAUAGGAUUCAUCACGUUAUAUGAAAAAAGCUUAAGUUUGCAACAAUUAUGGUUUUCCUAUAUUGUAAACUGUUGUAGUUUAAUAUGGGUUCUUUUCAUCAUUGUCUCAAACAAGUCUGAGUUACAGAGUUGCGCCGUGUGUAUGUUCGUAAUCUAUUUUUUCACCGGUGAACUCUUCAUGUCUCCAUCUUAAAUCGCUUGAUCAUAAAUGUUCCUGAUUUGUAGCCCCUCUGUAAACCAUAUAUAUAUGAUUCUCAUCUUUGAUGAACUCAAUCUGCAUCUCCACAAAACUCAUUGAUUCCUCUUAGCUUUAACCAUCUUCUAGAAAAUGUUUCUCUCUGCCUCUCCAGUUCGUCAAACCGGCGUCCCGGCGUCCGUCACUCAACCUUCGAGUCUCUCCGUCUUGGUCUUAGUAGUCAGAGCAUAGCCUCUGGCUUCCUCCGCUUCUGGGAUUCCCUGAACUUCAAGAAAGACAGGGAGUUUGUGGGAAUCACGGUUCUUUUCCUCGAUGAAAAGGUAAGUUAAUCUUCGAUCUAUCACACUUAUUUAACAUAAUUGUUUUAAUUUAUUUCCUGAUUCUUUGUUGGAUAAUACUAUUUGCAGAUUCCGUGAUUCAUGGGUUUACUCCCGUCGGACAUGCUAAUCAUUACAUGCCAUCUUUGAAAGCAGAUUCCAUUGUGAAAGUCGAUCGUUUUGAGGUUGCUAGGUGCUCCAAGUGAUUGCGAACACAAACCUAGAAAUUGGUAAACAUAGCAUAUUUGGCAGCUCCAAGCAAGAUUACAAUCAGGCAAAUUCAAGUGGAAUGACAUACCAACAACUGAAACUGGUAAUUAGUCAACAACUUAUCCCAUAUUUUCCUUAUCUGAAAAAAUCUACUGUGUUUCUGAUCUAUUUUUUCAUCUACGCAACUUUAGCCUCUGUCAUGGAUAGCUCUCUCCCAAGAAUUGCAUUGACUAUGGUUUCUGGGAAGAAAAAGAUCUUGCUCCUGAAAAAAGACCGUGACAACCCUGUUGUAAGAUUUUAGUUUGUGCAGAACAAAAAACCUUGAUUUAUUUUCUAUUUAGUAUAGUGAUAGUUGUUGACAAUCAUUAGUUAUUUGCCAAUAUGUUUUUUAUGCGGCAUUUCAGAACUCUCCAUUCCAAGCGGAACAGCAGAUGGAAGCUAAUUUUUCCGGAAGCUCCUCGACUUCAAGACAGAAUCAGAAGAUAGAUGUUGGUGGGAGGUUAAUCAAGGGAAUACUUCAGAGAAGUGAGACGGCAUAGCCAGACUUCAUCUUUUGUACAACCUGAGCAAAGAGUGGAACCCACAAAACACGAGAGAAGAAAAAACAAAACACGAAAUUAACAUAUUCAGAUCUUCUCUCUUGCAUGUCUAACAUCUGGCGCCGACGAAACUCAACACCCACGGCAGACGAAGCUGAUGCAAGUAAACCUCUCUUCAAUCAUGCUUAAAAUCAAUCUACGCUUUUCAAUCUCACAAACUAAGAAACAAUUUUACCUACAUGAAUCAGGAAAUUAGUGCCCACAUUCCCGACAUAGAGAAAAAAAGGAGUUGAAGUCCUAACAGUUUUUUCAGUAUUAGACUAAACCACAGAUUCAAGGCCCAGUUAUUUUGAAACCCUAACAUUUUAAAUCCAAAUUUAUUAUCUUUUUCCAUGCACUAUUUGAUUUAUAUACAAACAACUACCUAAGUAAACACUAACAAGUUUCAUCACCCUCAACUUUGAACAUAUAAGAUAUAAAAAUAUCAACAUAUGACUUCGUCGUUCAUUCUUAUAUCAAACUCAUCAACCCAUGUAAUAUCCAAAGUUCCAUCAAUCACUUUAUAGACAAAAAAAACAAUAAAAUCCCGUAAACAAAACUAUACAAUACAUCUAUAACGUAGCCGACUCCGCGCUUGCGCAGGGACUAUGCACCUAGUAACUUUAAAAUAGUUAAAUAUAUCUAAAAACUCGUUAGAGACUAUCUUGCAAAUACUAUAAACUUUUAGGCCAAAUUGCAAUUCUUUGAAACUUGUAAAAUUUGUCGGGCCUCUUGGUCAGGAUGGGUAUUGACGGAUACUAAUAGAUUGACACCAGGUUGAAAGAUUGACAUCAAGAUCACUUUUUCAGCUCCAAUUUUCUUUAUGCUCCAAAUUGAGUUAGAAUCUUCAAUCUUGUCCAAAAUGCAUAUGAAUUUAUAAAGACUCUAAAACGAUUCGAAACAUAAUAAAUAUCUUGCAAUAUAAUUCAUAUCAUGGUUCAAAUUCAUAAAAACAUGAUAUAUCAAAAAAUUUAAUGGUGGAUUUAUCCAUAAAUAAAUUACCUAACGAUCGAAAUUCUGCAGUACAACGAAUAAAGGAGUUUUUUAACACCAUAAAGGAGUAUGUUUUAAAUAACUUUUAUACAUGUUUUUUAUUAAUAUAAAAAUCAGAUAUAUAUAAUCCAAAUCGGCAAUUAACCAAUCCGCUGCGAUUGGGAAGAAAUGACCGUAGACACUACUAUAGAAUUUUACUAUAAAAAUUAGUAUCGCAUUCAUUAUUAUAAUUGUUUUUUUUGAAAUUUUAUUAUAUUCUUUCCGUUUCAUAAUACAUGAUAUUUCAAAAGAUUUGUGUUGUGUCAAAAUAUAAGAUGUUUUUGACAUAUUUAUACAAUUUUAACUUUAUCAGAAAAAAAUGAAUUAGAAAAUGUUUAGUUAAUUAUAUUCUUACAAUAUUUUUAAUGAUUGGUUGAAUUAUUUUAAUUUAUAGUUUAAUAGCUUUUCCUUACGUAGAAGUAAUUUUUUUUAAUAUUUGUGGUUUUAUCUAUAACAUUAUAUAUUAUGAAAUAGAGAGAGUAACUGUUGUGGCGAUUUAAACAUUGAGAAAUAAGAAGUUACAUUGUAAUUUUGUGAAUGCGAUUGCAUGUACAUUUUGUCAAUAAUACACACGCGUUUGCAGUAAUCAGCGUGAGAAUAUUAUAGAUGCACGCCGCGCGUAUGCAUGGAUCAGCAACUGUAUUUUACGUGUGUAUAAAUUGUGUGCAUGAUGGCAUUCAUUUUUAUUUAAUAAACAGAUGACAAUUACUUUUCAAUAAAUAAAUAAAUAAAUAAAUAAAUAAAUAAAUAAAUAGCAACAAUUGGAAAACUUUUUGGUGUGAAAACAGUAUAUUAUCAUAUGCUCUCUCCUUUUCAUGCAUGCAUGCGGGAAAACGGUCAUUUCGUACCUAACGAUAUGUUCAAUUCAUACCCGACUUAUAUGAUCGUGCUAAAACAUACAUAAUUUUUCAAAAAUUUCACAUACCUAAUGUUUAUUUUUUUGGCCAAAUCAUACCUCAGUCGCCACAUCAGCUGACACAUCAUAUAAUUUUGCUGAUCUAGAUGCUACGUCAGCUAAUUUUGGUGACGAAAAUGCCAUGUGUACAUUUUAAUGAAAAAAAAACAAAAUAAUCAUUUUAUAAAAAUAUUUUUUAGAAAAUGUAAAAUUUAUAAAUUUUUAUCAGUUAGUAAAAAUAAUAAAAAUUAAUUAAAUAAUUAAAUUUUAAUCUUAUAUAAAAAAUAUACAGUCUCUGUAAAUGUCUCGAUCAUAUCAUAAUACUGUCCUUAUAAAGUUAUAUAUGUUGUAAUGUAUCAAAUUCAAUACUACUGUUGCAUGUGUUGCUCUUGAUUAUCUUGAUUAAUCAUGAGUAUGCUAUUUACAUUUAAACAAUUUAGAUUCACAUAUCAUAAAUAUUUUAAAUAAACACAACCAUAAUUAACUAUGAAUAUGUUAUUUACAUUUAAAGAAUUUAGAUUAACAUAUCAUAUUUGUUUUUAAUAAAUACAAUUAUACAUGACUGCAAUACUAGCAUUGAAUUUGAAUAAUUACAACACAUAUAUAACUCUUAUAAAGACGGUACUGUGAUAUGAUCGAAACAUUUACAAAUCUAUCUAUUAUAUAAGAUUAAAAUUUAAUUAUUCAAUUAUUUAUGUUAAUUUUCACUAAAUAAUAAAAAGUUAUAAAAUUUUACAUUUUCUAAAAAAAAUAUUUUUAUAAAAUGAUUAUUUUUUAAAUGUACAUGUGACAUUCUCGUCAGCAAAAUUAGCUGAUAUAACAUCCAAGUCAGCAAAAUUAAAUGAUGUACCAGCUGAUGUGACGACCGAUGUAUGAUUUUGAUAAGAAAAUAAACAUUAGGUAUGUUAUUUGAUUUUUUUUGAAAGUUCAGGUAUAUUUUAGCACGUUCAUAUAAAUCAGGUAUGAAUUAAACAUAUCGCAAUAUGUUGGGUAUGAAAUGGUGUUAAAAUUUUUGAAAGUUAAAAUAUAUUUUAGUACGUUCAUAUAAGUCGGGUAUGAAUUAAAAUAUUUUAGCACGUUCACGAUAUAUUAUACUCUCAAAAAAAUAAAAAUGAAAAAAAAACGAAACAUGUAUGAUGUAAUAAUUUCAUAAAUAUAUUAGCAUUGACAGAGGCACCUAUCCCUUGUAUCAACUAUAUAAGUCUCACACCAGUCUUUGUACUCUGCACUUCCAUUCAUAUAUACAAUCUCAAAAGAUGAAGAGUCACUACACAAACAUCAUUUAUGUUGUUUUUCUCUUAUUUUGUCUUUUGAUCACAUCUUCCUCUGCACAAUCCCUCAUACGACAACCCACUGAUGACCUAACCACAAUUCUACAGCGUAUGCAUGCAAUAUCUUCUGCUCUAAGAUUCGAACCCAUAUUCAAGAAAUCCUUCAAUGCCCUUUAGAUUCUGUGCUUCGGCUGUGUGUUUUCAAACAGUAUGAUACAGACACUUGCUCUAUUUUACUCAAAUGCUCGGUUUUUGUCUUGAAACAGAGGAGAAAGGAGCGCAACCAAACUCAAUCCUGGGAGAAGCGCAUUACUUAAAUAAAGAUGAUCUAGAUAUCUCUUCACGUGAUUAUAAAGGCUCACCUUCAAACUUAGUGACGGGUAUGAGAGAUCGUCCUCCAAUGUCUUACUCUCUCAGAAUGGAGUCUUUCAACACGCUCCUUCAGUCAAAUGAGACAGAGAGAUACGAAUCUCGUCCUUUUCCCGUUGGUGGAUACAACUGGUAUGUUGGUAUAUUAUUUAUUCCGGAUCUAGAACCCGUUCUAAGCAUAAACAAAGUGAAAUAUCAGUCCAUUGUUUAAAAUUUUUAAGAAUAUAUAUAAGCUCCAAAAAUUGUUUAAACAAAAUCAUCUAUUAAAAAUUCUUAUGAAAUAAGUAAAUUUUCUAUAGUCCCAAAAUCUAGUGUCCGAAUAUUACAUAUCAAAAAACUUUUGAUGGAUCUUGUUAUACAGGUCACUUAUUGUGUAUCCCAACGGGAACAGGCAGGAUAGUGGCUCAGGGUUCAUUUCUCUUUACGUAGCCAUAGACAACUCGACUCUCGUUUCUUCACAUCAAGAGGUUUUCGCAGAUCUCAGGUUUUACGUAUUCAAAAGGACCGAGAGGAAUUUCUUUACCGUCCAAGGUUCUUUCUAAUUUUCCAUUCUAUCAAGAAACAUGCAAUGUGUAUAUAGUAGUAACAUCUAUCUUUGUUUCAAUCCGCAGAUACAAAUGUAUGGCGAUACAAUAUUUUCAAAACGAUGUGGGGAUUCCCUCGGGUCCUCCCUCUUGAUACCUUCAGAAACCCGAGCAACGGAUACCUCUUCGAUGGAGAUAACUGCGAGUUUGGUGUUGAUGUGACUGUUCAUUCUCCCUUUGAAAGUUCAGAACUUUUCACUGUCUCUAGGAAUUUCCCUAACCCGAGGUUCACCUGGACUAUUCAGAGGUUCUCCACCCUGGUCGGAGAUACGCAUCUCUCUAAUACGUUCUCGGUCGGAGGAAGGAAUUGGUGAGUCCUGUCCAACACUAGUUCAAGACUAAAGCUCUUUUGAUUUAGUUAGCGUAUAGUGGUAGUAACAGAUAUUCCAU